UUGGAAGAAAAAAAUAGAAACUUCCCAAAGUUAAAUAUAGGAAAAAAUGAAGAAAGCAUUAGUGAGUGGGAGGACAACAUCAAGAGAACUAAUAUGUUUAACUGUAGUCCCAGACAAAAGGAAGGGAUGUAAAACAUAUAUGAAGACAUAAUAGUUGACAGAAAUUGUUGAAGGAACUGGGGAUGAAGGUGGAGAAAGAUGGCUUAUCAUCAUCUUCAGCCAUCUAAGAAAAGGUUGACACAUGGAAAAAAGAUCAGAACUCUCUCCUAGGGCCUAUGAGGCAGGACCAAGGCAAAACUAGAAGCUAGGAAGAGGCACUUGAGUCUGAUGUGAUGAACAGUUUCCCCAGACCAGUUGCCCAGCAGUAGACAGAGCUAAUGUUUUACAGACUUGGAGACAUUCUAGCAAAGUUACACAACUCCUUGGCAGAGCAUACUUGGAGAAGUCCACUAACAGAUGGGAGGGAUGGCCCCAAUGGAUGACUUCCAAAGCUUUUCCUAGCCAGCGAUUAGAAUCU
rnacentral:lncRNA from 1 species